AGAGUUMAUCCMGGCUMAGGAUGAACGCUGGCGGCGUGCCUAAUACAUGCAAGUCGAACGAGGUGCCUUUYGUAGCAAUACGAGGGUAUCCUAGUGGCGAACGGGKKARUAAMSCSUUKGKKRACYUGCCCCRAAKKGKGGGAUACCAGUCCGAAAGGACUGCUAAUACCGCAUGUGGUCAUCGGUUUCUGAAACCGAUGUCGAAAGCAGUAAUGCGCUUUGGGAGGGACCUGCGUCCCAUCAGCUAGUUGGUAGGGUAACGGCCUACCAAGGCUUCGACGGGUAGGGGACCUGAGAGGGUGACCCCCCACAAUGGAACUGAAAUACGGUCCAUACACCUACGGGUGGCAGCAGUAGGGAAUAUUGCACAAUGGACGAAAGUCUGAUGCASCAACGCCGCGUGCACGAUGAAGGCCUUCGGGUCG
rnacentral:rRNA from 1 species